CCUACGGGGAGCAGCAGUCGAGAAUCAUUCACAAUGGGGGAAACCCUGAUGGUGCGACGCCGCGUGGGGGAAUGAAGGUCUUCGGAUUGUAAACCCCUGUCAUGUGGGAGCAAAUUAAAAAGAUAGUACCACAAGAGGAAGAGACGGCUAACUCUGUGCCAGGAGCCGCGGUAAUACAGAGGUCUCAAGCGUUGUUCGGAAUCACUGGGCGUAAAGCGUGCGGAGGCUGUUUCGUAAGUCGUGUGUGAAAGGCGCGGGCUCAACCCGCGGACGGCACAUGAUACUGCGGGACUAGAGUAAGGGAGGGGGAACCGGAAUUCGCGGUGUAGCAGUGAAAUGCGUAGAUAUCGAGAGGAACACUCGUGGCGAAGGCGGGUUCCUGGACAUUAACUGACGCUGAGGCACGAAGGCCAGGGGAGCGAAAGGGAUUAGAUACCCUGGUAGUC
rnacentral:rRNA from 1 species